UGUUAUCACGUAUAUGUGAUUUUGUUGGUGUUGACAUAUCUCGUAGGUCCAAGAGCCACAAGCGCACCGAACCAAACCGUUGACAUAUCUUUUUUUUAUCUGAUAUAUUUGAUUUCUUUUUUUUUUGGUCAUUACAAACGGGUGGAUGAAACGGAUUAACGAUUACUGAUAAAAGUUUCUACUGUGAAUGGCGUAUGAGUAUUAAUGGCCUCCUAGCCGUUACAAAACCGAACCGAAUCGGUACACAAGGAAGUUCGAUAAGCUGAUAGCAACGUGAAUGUUCAAGCAUCUGUAUCGCGCUUGCUCGUGAUUGUUUUUAUAUUGUAACUAUAUAAUUGUAGUAUCUUAUAGUUUUACGAAGUUACGUACGAUACGUACGUGUGUAAGUUUUGAAAUGGCAUACAUGAAUACGUUGCCCGUGUUAGAAGGAGCGAGAGUAAUUGUUAUAGAUGAAGGAUUAGAUGCAAUGUACGCGAGAACACUGAUAGUCGGAUGGUUGCGCAUGUGGCAGGAAAAAAAUCCAAAUCACAGUGUUGACUUGUUAUCAUUUUCUGACCCGCAACUUUGGGACGUGGAAUCGGAGCUGUUUACAUCUAAGAAUGUUUGCUUACACAAUUAUUACAGUCUUGACGUCAAUACAAUUGUAAACAAAGAUGCGGAGAAUCUUCAGUACAUACUGAAGACUAUCAAAUUAAAGCCACAAAAUACAGUCAUUGUUGACUGUUUGAGCUCCCUGGUACUGUACAACGGUCUGGCAAAGGCUCUGUGGUUUGUAGAGAAAUUGCAUAGACAAGUAUCUCAAAUGAUUUGCAUCUAUCGGCGAGAUUUUAUCCAGAAUAAGGUUGUUGCCAUUGAAACUUUGGGUACAACUUACGUCAAGUUAGAGAAAUUUCCUGGUAUCAAACCUUCGAGAAACAAUUUAAUGUACAUUGCACAUCUGACUCAUAGAAAAUCAGUUGGUUCAAUAAUAUGUCAGACAGAAGUAAUACAUCAAGAUAGCACAUCGUACGAGAUCUGCACGAUAUCACAUCGUACGUCUAAAACAGUUUCAACAUCAAAAGAUCGCAAAAUAGAAGAAAAUACGAAGCAACCUAAAAUAGAGUCCACGUUUAGAAUAGAAAUGAGUUCUCGAGAGAUGGAACAAAGGAAUCAAACAUCAUUACCUUAUAUAAUAAAUGCAACAAAUAAUACAGCAAAUAACAAAACAACGCCUAAAAUACUUUAUCAGCCUGAUGAGGAAGAUGACAUAGACGAAGAUGAUCCUGAUAAUGAUUUGUAUCUUUAAUAAUUCUCUAGUACGAAUAGGACUUGAAAACAAUUUAACACAAUUAAACCAAAUAACGUGUUUUCAAUAUGUUUAACAUACGGUGCUGAGGGAGAAAUAGAUUUUACAUAAUACUGAACUCUGCUCUCCAGCAAGCAACGACCAUAUCGCACAGCUUCCUCCCGACUGUCGACAACACCUACUUGAAGCAGCCAGUUGACCAA